UUCCCCUGCUAUAGUAUGGAAGUUGUUUUUAAUUUUAUUCAUACUAAUUACAUGUUCUAUUUGACAGCGUCACGAAUUUGCCUACUGCAGACUGACCACCUUCACUUCCCAGCUUCUCCUACCCACCCUGUUACACCUGUCUAUGUCCCAUCUUGUAAAUCUCUUUUUCAGUAAUGUUUGUUUGUUUUAUUCCACAGCCUUUCAAAUUUAAACAAAGCCAUGUCUGUGACCGUGGUUUGGAGUUAUCUAUUAGAGUCUGGUGGGCUCAUUACAGGGUACAAAACUGGAGGCAAUGUGCCCCUCCCACCAAGAAAUGGACAAUCUUCUAUUAGUGAAGCAUGGAGUCUCUCCCCACUUUGGGACACCAUCAUGCUUAGAGGGCCAUUUUCUCUUAUUCUUGCUAAUGGUGAAGUACUUAAAAACAAAACCAACCAGUCAAACAGACCCUUAAGGCAUUAAAGAAGAAUGGCUUGAGAUGACACCCUUUGAACUCUGGGAAGAUGAGUGAGACCAUCUUGAGACUGGGCUAUAAGGGACUGUUACUGCCACAGCCUGUUGAGAAGAUCACAGAGCUCUGAGGAAGAACGAAUCUGGCAGUAAAAUAAAGAUGAAGGUUGCAGCAGCCUCAAAGAUCUCUUAGAUCCACACCUAAUCCUCAGAAACUUGUUCUGGGGAAGGAGAGCUUGGACAAGAGAGAGAAGGAUCCAUCAGAUCCAUCGGAACUUUAGCCUUAACGUGGGAAGUUUUAGUUGGUUUUAGUUUCAUUACAAUCAGAAAGACCUAAAUAGAUCUAUCACCACUGAAGCUAAAAUGAUUUAAAUAAAUCUGUUAGGGAAGAACAGAGAGGAGUAAUGGCCUGAAACUUUGCUUAAAACUGAAAACAAAGUAACAUGAAAUAAAAAUAGAAAGGAAGGAAAGGAGGACAGGGUGUGUGUGUGGGGGGGGGGGAUUGUAUUGAUUAGUAUUGAUUAGUAUCCCAUUUAUCUGCUGAAAAAAAUCAACCUGGCCAAUACAACCUGGGUUAUAUAUUUUCUCCUACCCCUUGAAGUGAUAAAAUCCAAAGCUAUGCUCCUACAGCUCCAGACUAAACUGCUGUUCUUUUGAUACUUGGAAGAUGUGAUGGCUUGUAAUGGUUGGCCCAGGGAGUGGCACUAUUGGAGGGUGUGGCCCUGUUGGAGUAGUUGUGUCACUGUGGAUGUGGGCUUUAAUACCCUUAUCCUAGCUGUCUGGAAGCCAGUGUUCUGCUAGCAGCCUUCAGAUGAGAAUGCAGGACUCUCAGCUCCUCCGGUACCAUGGACAUGGAUGCUGCCAUGCUCCUACCUUGAUGACAAUGGACUUAACCUCUGAAUCUGUAAGCCAGCCCCCAUUGAAUGCUGUCCUUGUAACAGUUGCCUUCAAUCCAGUAAUACCUCUCCUGGGCAUAUACCCAGAAGAUGUUCCUGGUAAUAAGGACACAUGCUCCACUAUGUUCAUAGCAGCCUUAUUUAUAAUAUCCAGAAGCUGGAAAGAACCUAGAUGUCCCUCAACAGAGGAAUGGAUACAGAAAAUGUGGUACAUUUACAUAAUGGAGUACUACUCAGCUAUUAAAAACAAUGAAUUUAUGAAAUUCUUGGGCAAAUGGAUGGAUCUGGAGGAUAUCAUCCUGAGUGAGGUAACCCAAUCACAAAAGAAGUCACAUGAUAUGCACUCACUGAUAAAUGGAUAUUAGCCCAGAAACUUAGAAUACCCAAGAUACAAUUGGUAAAACACAAGAAAAUCAAGAAGAAGGAAGACCAACCUGUGGAUACUUCAUUUCUCCUUAGAAUAAGGAACAAAAUACCCAUGGAAGGAGAUACAGAGGCAAAGUUUGGAGCUAAGAUGAAAGGAUAGAUCAUCCAGAGAUUACCCCAUAUGGGGAUCCAUCCCAUAAUCAGCCACCAAACCCAGACACUAUUGCAUAUGCCAGCAAUAUUUUGCUGAAAGGACCCUGAUAUAGCUGUCUCGUAUGAGGCUAUGCCAGGGCCUAGCAUACACAGAAGUGGAUGCGCACAGUCAUCUAUAAGAUGGAACACAGGGCCCCCAAUGUAGAAGAUAGAGAAAGUACCCAAGGAGCUGAAGGGGUCUGCAACCCUAUAGGUGGAACAACAAUAUGAACUAACCAGUACCUUCACAGCUCGUGUCUCUAGCAGCAUAUGUAGCAGAAGAUGGCCUAGUCCGUCAUCAUUGGGAAGAGAGGCCCUUUGGUCUUUCAAACUUUAUAUGCCCCAGUACAGGGGAAUGCCAGGUCCAAGAAGUGGGAGUGGGUAGGUAGGGGAAUAGGGCAAGGGGAGAGUAUAGGGGACUUUUGGGAUAGCAUUUGAAAUGUAAAUGAAGAAAAUAAUAGAAAAAUUGAAAAAAAAGUUGCCUUCAUCGUUGAGUCUGUUCACAGCAGUAAAACCCUAAGACAGAAGUCAUAGGCUCAUUUUCAUUUUCUGUUACCCAUUUCAAAGUAUGGCUUUCUGUACAGAAAGAAUAGGAAACAAAGCUGAAGGUAGACUCUUACAUCAUUUCACAGAACUGUCACACCUACCAACUGCUUCUAUUUCACUGUUCAGAGCAGGAAUAUAUUCAGAGCUAGAAUAAUGAAAUAGAAGUAAGUAACAGUUGGAGUCACAGGUUUUCUCCAGUCAGACCAAUCACGAGGUAUCGGGCAUGCUGGCCUCUUGGGUGGAAUUGGGGAUUACCAACAGUGUCUGCAUUUUGCAAUAUAAUUUACAUAAUGUUUUUGUGUUAAAUUAGAAGCCACCAUUAUAUGAUUACAGCCCUCUACUGAAUUUUUGAUAGCAGACAAUAAAAC
rnacentral:lncRNA from 1 species